UUUGGCUUACUAUAGACUUUACCUUUGGGCAAAAAUCUGAAAUGGAUUCAACAUCCUUUAUUUGCAAAGCGUCAAACUUGCCUCGUAAAGUUUGGAGUCAUACCUUAUUCACCUUGUCCAAGGAGGAGGGAAUUCUUCAAAAUCUCUCAAGCUUGCUUUGCAUUGGUAGCAUCAGCCACCUUUAAAAACAUAGAUACAUCCAAACCUUGAUGGAUGAGUGCAAGAGCUUGUUGAUCCUUCUUCUUUAUUCUUACAAAAGCAUCCUUAUCAUUUUGAGUCAAGGAUCCUUCAUCUUCGAGUGGAGUAAAGCUUCUUUCUACAAUAUCCCACACAUCUUAUUAGUUAAGUAUGGCUUUCAUACGAAGAUACAAACUCUCAUAGUUUUUUUUUGUAAAAUAAGAAAAUU
rnacentral:lncRNA from 1 species